rnacentral:lncRNA from 1 species
AGCAAUCCAAUGAGGUUCAGGAAGCCCCAAUUUGUGUAUGGUUCCCCUCAUACGCGUAUGUGGGCCCUGAAUUGCAAAACAAAACCCGGUUUGACAAAUUUAAAGCCAGAAAAUGAUUUUUUGAGGUUGAGACUUGACUUUGACGGCAAAAAAAAAAUGUAGAAGGCUUGAAAACUCAGAUUUUCAGGGUGGAUCAAGAUUUUCAUGAGCUUUAAGUGAUUGAAGACUUAUAUCAUCUAUAGAUUU